rnacentral:lncRNA from 10 species
GAGUGCUGAAUAAGUUUCUGUCAUAGAUGAGAGAAUUCUGUAUACGACUGCGGAACCUGGUACACAGUGGAGCAACCAAAGGAGAAAUCUCGGCCACACAGGACGUCAUGAUGGAGGAGAUAUUCCGAGUGGUGUGCAUCUGUUUGGGUAAUCCACCAGAGACAUUCACCUGGGAAUAUCGAGACAAAGAUAAAAAUUAUCAGAAAAUUGGCCCCAUAACACCCUUGGAGUUUUACAGGGAACAUGUCAAGCCACUCUUCAAUAUGGAAGAUAAGAAUGAGUUUUGAGGGCCGGGUGCGGUGGCUCAUGCCUGUAAUCCCAGCACACUGGGAGGCUGUGGUGAGUGGAUCACCUGAGUUCGGGAGUUCGAGACCAGCCUGGCCAACAUGGUGAAACUCCGUCUCUACUAAAAAUACAAAAAUUAGCCAGGCAUGGUGGCGCACAUCUGUAAUCCCAGCUACUUGGGAGGCUGAAGCA